GUUGAUGACUAGUAAGGUUUAAUACAAGUAACAUGAAACUAAAAGAGUUCAACUUGACAAAAUGUGACAGCAACUAAAGAAAAAAAAUAACUAAACAGCACCAUCAGGAAGCAAUACAAUGGAACUGGAAAAACAUUUAACAAGACUAAUGAACCCAAGGGAACCAAAUAGCCAAAGGUAGUUAGCAAAGUCCCAAAACAAGGAGGAGAACCCAAGAACUUGCAGGAGAGACAAACGAAACAGAAAACAAUCACAACGAGACACCACUAAACAUGAAAUAGAGCUGGGACACAAGAAAGACCUGCUGCAGGUUGGAGUCCAAAACCCAUGCCCAGGUGGAGAGGCAGAACACAGGCCUGAUUAGAGGACAGAUGUGCCUGAGAGCUGCCGAACGCCCACGCACUGUCCUCAAAUCUAUAAGGUGAAGGCAGGACAGCAGAAGCAGUGUCUGGGGAGGGAUUUGGGGCCUUCGUCUCUGACUGGGACAAACUCACAGCCACGCCAGCUCUGAAGGAACUUGCGAGGGACGCUGCCAUCUUCACUCGAAGCAUCUAGCGGAAGAGAGGCCAGUACAGGCACAUCCUGAUGAGUGAAACUGGAAAAACCACUCUUGGUCAAGAAACUGCCUCUCCAUCCAAGGAUAGACUAUGCCAACAUGACAGGUGGACACGUGGCACCCUCGGGGUUUGAUGGCAUCACUGCUAUGCACAAAGUGUUUGACUGGGCUGGCACCCACAGGCAGGGAUGAAGCUGAUGCAUUCCUGUGUACGUGAGCCACAGAGAACAUCAGUGAGGACUUCAGAGCCACCCUCAAAUCAUUCCUCUACUGCACUGGAGAGCAAAGCAACAAGUUGGUGUCUUAAUGAAUUCACUGUGCAUGACUGGACAUGGAUAGGUCAUCGCCAUGACUGAAAGGUCACUGAUCAGGUCUAAAUAAUCAGUUUUUUCUCUCCUUGGGUUCAUGCUGGUGGUUUUGAGGAAACCAGCCAGAACAGGUCAACUUGGCCAUUAAUGACUGUACUGAUAAGAGAGUAAACAGCAUUAACAGGACUGGAGGAGAGG